GUCAAGGAUAUAAGCAGUGCAACCCAAGACCUAAGAAUCUUGAUGUUGGAAAUAAAGAUGGCGGAAGCUAUGACCUACACAGGUAUUCACACUUUUUUAUUCUUCUCGGCAGCUUCUUCCCCAAUAAUUGCAUGAUCCAGUCAUUUCAACUAAUUUCUGUUUCUUACCAUGUUGCACAGAGCACAGCUGGGGGUGCAUGCUUGUUCUAACAGCAUUCUCCACCAUGUUUUGUCAUUGAUCACAGAUCUGUCAUUUUGCUUUUAAAUCAGCUCACUGUCCCAUCAAGAUGUCCCAGAGCAUUUACUCACUCCCAUGCUUGUCUGCUUGUUGGAUGAUGCUUUUAAGCAUGGAAUGAUGUGAAGGAAAAAAACAGAAUGGCCUUUGCGA
rnacentral:sRNA from 1 species